CCACAGCACUGACUUAGUGUAGCCAUGUUUGUCCGUCCUCCUUCAGGACAAUAUUUUGACAAUGAUUCCAAACGAUGAAGGAUAUUGGCGAAUAUUAAGACUGAUAAAAGGACGACCUACCUAUUGCAAGUUUGUGGAGCAUUCUGAAUGUAUAGAGAAGUUUGGAAUGCCUUACUCCUGUGAACUGUGCAUUUCAGUGAAAUAGAUUACCUAAUAGCUACUGGUUUUCGCCUGUUCCAAUACUGGCCAAAAUAAUGUUGAAAGACCCCAAAACGAAUGAUGUACUAGAGAUAACCUUUAGGGAGAUGUUUUAUUCCACCAUGGAAAGGAUGACAGAGAAGCUCACAGCAAAGGGAAAAAGCAUAUCACUGGUCGACCAUUCAUUCCAUAUACCUGGUCAAGUGUUUGCCGAAAUUUAAUCUUAAAAAGAAGUCCAACACCGGACGGUCCCGAAGGUGAAUCUACAAAACCGCCUGUAUAGAUGGCAGAAAAUGCACAAUCUCCAAAAACUAAACCGAGAGUGAAUCUACACGACCCCCUGUGUUGAUGGUAGACGAAGGUGUAUCUACACUACCAUCUGUAAUGAUGGCAGAAAAUGUAGUAACGAACCAACCGAAGGUGAAGCUACUCGGCAAUUGGUUUUGCCAGUUCUUUGUUCCGAAAUGCUUGCCUAGUAGAGGUUUUGACAUUUAUUGACUCAUUUGCAUGGUUUGAGGUUGUGCAAAUAAAUUUUCCUAAAAUAAGCUAGCAAAAUAAUUUAGGGAAUAGAAAUAUU